rnacentral:lncRNA from 1 species
GCCCCACCUGCAGUGCUGUGCCCAGGCCUGGGGCCCCCAGGACAGGAGGGAUGCGGAGCUGCUGGAGCGGGUCCAGAGGAGGGCACGAGGAUGCUCAGAGGGCUGCAGCACCUCUGCUGUGAAGACAGGCCGAGGGAGCUGGGCUUCUCCCCUACAAGAGGGGAGGCGUUGGUUAGAUGUGAAGGCAGUGAGGCGCUGUCACUGCUGCCCAGAGAGCUGUGGGUGCCCCAUCCCUGCAGGCACUCAAGGCCAGGUGGGAUGGGGCCCUGGGCAGCCUGAGCUGGUGGGGGGCAGCCCUGCCCAUGGCCGGGGGUGGCACUUAAUGAUCUUUGAGGUCCCUUCCAAUCUAAGUGGUGCUAUGAUAAUCCUCGCCUCCUUUCCAGUCCGUCCUCAUCUCUGUUCUUCCCUCUAUGCUCUUUUCACUGCAUCUUCCUUCUCUCCCUGCCUUCCUCAGGUGUAAACUAUUCCAGCUUCCAACUCCUUUGCUCAUACUUGGCUUCUAUGAUUACACUUGCAUACCCAAAGCAGUAAAAAUAUUUUUCUGACAGCCUGAGAAAUUAUGCCCAUAACUGCAAGUGGAGCCCCUUCUUCCAAACAUUGCUAACAACUUUUCUGUGGUCCAGCAGUUCCCAUUCAAAAUGUCUUAUUUCUCUGUGGAAAUAAAUGGGUUAAGAAAACAACGUGGAGAGGAAUUAGUGCCGCGCAGUGAAGUGCUGGCCUUUCCCAGAGCCUCAAUGAAAGGCCCUUUCAGAGCCAUUUAGCCUCUGAUCAGUGGAGGGACCGUGUGACCCAAGGGACAAGGGGCUCUGCAGCUGUCUACACCUUUUUUGCUUUGGGUCAGCUUACGGUUCUUAAUUAUUUUUCUGAUGAAGAAAAAGGAAAAAAUCAGCCUGGUAAAUAACGUUCCUUUCCCCACCAAGUGCUUAAGAGAAAAGGAGAUGACACAAGCACUGCUCGAAGAGCCUUAUCCUAAUCUUUAAUGACAUAUCAAGCUAGCAGCAAGCAGAGGAGG